rnacentral:sRNA from 1 species
CUUAAAUUUAAUCAGAGAUUUUAUUUUGGAAUCUUCUGUUAAAAAAAUAAAAGGCUAUGACCUCUUCCCUUCAUUGGAAGGAAUGGGUUUUGGGCUCUAGCAUGUCUUGAAUGAACUCCAAAUCAAAUGUUGUGGUGCUGAUUCACUGGAGUAACACACAGGUUUCCGUUCAUGGUAAAUAAUUCCUGUCCUUUAUGCUUUGUUGGAAGAUUUUUCGGACGCCGCCCGAUACUACAUUCCCUGAGCCCACCUGCCUGUCAGCAUCACCCCCAAAUGCGCCACCAAGGCAGUCGAAGAGACAAGGCCAGAGAACCAAGAGGCCCGUGGCCGUCUACAAUCUUUGUCUAGAGCUGGAAGAUGGUGACAAUCCUUACCCUUCCAAGGAGGACACCCCUACCAGCAGUCUGGACUCACUUUCCUCCCCGUCUCCCGUGACUACAGCUGUCCCUGGGCCUCCUGGACCAGACAAAAACCACCUUCUGGCAGAUGGAGGGAGCUUUGGAGACUGGGCAUCCACUAUGCCAGACCCGAUCGUCUGUGGUCCAGUGGCUUAAUCCACAGUCUCCAACCACAACAAGCUCCAACACAGCUGUGACACCUCUUUCACCCGGGUCGUCCCCUUUCCCCUUUUCUCCUCCUGCUACU